UGACGAUCCAGGGGGUCCGGGAUCCGCGUGGGCUUCAGCUGCGGCGGUAGGAACAGCUCCAGCCGGAUGGCGGCGCGCGCGGACUUCUGCUGCCAGGGAAGGGAAACUGGGGCAGAGCUCAGGAGGACACCUACCUUCUUCCAGGUCAAGUUUGGAGUCUCAGGGGUCCCGCAAGACCAGAGCCAGGUUUUCCCGAACUCUAAAUUUCUGGGUCCUGGGUCCUAUAUUUCUGUAAUGUAUUUGUUAGUGUCAUCAUAUUUCAUAACUAACUCACUUCUCAAUUUAUUAAUUCUAUAACUCA